rnacentral:rRNA from 1 species
AUGACUCGAUCCAAGGGGAAAUUGACAAGAUCUGAAAUCGAAGACAUUGGACAAACUGUGGACAGCCUGCAUAAGAUCUGUGACAUUGUUCACGCUGCUCUCUUGCUUGAGAAAAAUGAUAAACUGCUUGCAGCAAUUCAAAACGCAAGCACAAACAUAGGCGGGACAGUACAAUUCUUCACUGAAUCCAAGUUGUUCCCGAGGAAGGAGAAGGCUGAUAUUCUAAAACUAAUUAGUACAAGUGCAUCCAGUGAUCAUCAGCGGCGACCACCCUACCAUUUUUUUUGGUCAUGGACACAAUAUUCGUCAUUGUUUGGAUGGUUGGCAACAUUUUUCGUCAAUGCUCCAUCGACAAUUCUAGUUCAUUUUUCUAGCCAAUAUUGGCCAAUUCAUGGGCAAGCAAAAACAUCAACCAGGAUUUUGGCUAGCCAAAUUUUGAUAGGGCAAACGUGGGUACAAACCAAACACGCCCUCCUCCUAUCGGCAAUCCCGCUAGGGAGUAAUGAAGGUUUUGGUGGUGAGCGGGGUCAAGGAACUAGGCCGCUCGGACCGAACCAUCAAGCUCAUGAACGAUGA